AAGUCGUAACAAGGUUUCCGUAGGUGAACCUGCGGAAGGAUCAUUAACAAAUUUUCCCAACCAACCACGUAUGUGAACCGUUCCAAAGCCCAUGGUGUGCACCGUGCGCUAGGUGAUCGCGGCAUUGCGCAAGCAUUGCCGCAUUACGAUCGCCUAGGCUUACGCCGGACCACCAUGUUUAUUUACGUCUGAAAUUACACUUGAACCUGAGACUUUAUAGUAAAACAUAAAGACAACUUUUAGCAACGGAUCUCUAGGCUCUC
rnacentral:misc_RNA from 1 species